GGCAAGGUGGCCGAGUGGUUAAGGCGUCAGAUUUAAGUCACUACGUUGAUCCCUGAUGACGAAAGUCGCACGAGUUCGAACCUCGUUCUUGCCA